GACGAACGCUGGCGGCGUGCCUAAUACAUGCAAGUAGAACGCUGAAGGAGGAGCUUGCUUCUCUGGAUGAGUUGCGAACGGGUGAGUAACGCGUGGGUAACCUGCCUGGUAGCGGGGGAUAACUAUUGGAAACGAUAGCUAAUACCGCAUAAGAGUAGAUGUUGCAUGACAUUUGCUUAAAAGGUGCAAUUGCAUCACUACCAGAUGGACCUGCGUUGUAUUAGCUAGUUGGUGGGGUAACGGCUUACCAAGGCGACGAUACAUAGCCGACCUGAGAGGGUGAUCGGCCACACUGGGACUGAGACACGGCCCAGACUCCUACGGGAGGCAGCAGUAGGGAAUCUUCGGCAAUGGACGGAAGUCUGACCGAGCAACGCCGCGUGAGUGAAGAAGGUUUUCGGAUCGUAAAGCUCUGUUGUAAGAGAAGAACGAGUGUGAGAGUGGAAAGUUCACACUGUGACGGUAUCUUACCAGAAAGGGACGGCUAACUACGUG
rnacentral:rRNA from 1 species